GAUGGACGCUGGCGGCGUGCCUAAUACAUGCAAGUCGAGCGAACAGAUGAGGAGCUUGCUCCUCUGACGUUAGCGGCGGACGGGUGAGUAACACGUGGAUAACCUACCUAUAAGACUGGGAUAACUUCGGGAAACCGGAGCUAAUACCGGAUAAUAUAUUGAACCGCAUGGUUCAAUAGUGAAAGACGGUUUUGCUGUCACUUAUAGAUGGAUCCGCGCCGCAUUAGCUAGUUGGUAAGGUAACGGCUUACCAAGGCAACGAUGCGUAGCCGACCUGAGAGGGUGAUCGGCCACACUGGAACUGAGACACGGUCCAGACUCCUACGGGAGGCAGCAGUAGGGAAUCUUCCGCAAUGGGCGAAAGCCUGACGGAGCAACGCCGCGUGAGUGAUGAAGGUCUUCGGAUCGUAAAACUCUGUUAUUGGGGAAGAACAAAUGUGUAAGUAACUAUGCACGUCCUGACGGUACCUAAUCAGAAAGCCACGGCUAACUACGU
rnacentral:rRNA from 1 species